UACGUAGGGGGCAAGCGUUAUCCGGAUUUACUGGGUGUAAAGGGAGCGUAGACGGAAAGGCAAGUCAGAAGUGAAAUCAUAGGGCUCAACCCUGUAAUUGCUUUUGAAACUGUCUAUCUAGAGUACCGGAGGGGCAGGCGGAAUUCCUGGUGUAGCGGUGAAAUGCGUAGAUAUCAGGAAGAACACCGGUGGCGAAGGCGGCCUGCUGGACGGUAACUGACGUUCAGGCUCGAGAGCGUGGGGAGCAAAC
rnacentral:rRNA from 1 species